GACAGAGGGUGCAAACGUUGUUCGGAAUUACUGGGCGUAAAGCGUGUGUAGGCGGUCCACUAAGUCGGGUGUGAAAGCCCUGGGCUCAACCCAGGAAGUGCACUCGAAACUGGCGGGCUAGAGUAUCGGAGAGGUUGGUGGAAUUCUCGGUGUAGAGGUGAAAUUCGUAGAUAUCGAGAGGAACACCGGUGGCGAAGGCGGCCAACUGGACGAAUACUGACGCUGAGACACGAAAGCGUGGGGAGCGAACCGG
rnacentral:rRNA from 1 species